CCUACGGGAGGCAGCAGUAGGGAAUAUUGCUCAAUGGGGGAAACCCUGAAGCAGCAACGCCGCGUGGAGGAUGAAGGUUUUCGGAUUGUAAACUCCUUUUGUUAGAGAAGAUAAUGACGGUAUCUAACGAAUAAGCACCGGCUAACUCCGUGCCAGCAGCCGCGGUCAUACGGAGGGUGCGAGCGUUACUCGGAAUCACUGGGCGUAAAGAGCGCGUAGGCGGGAUAGCAAGUCAGAUGUGAAAUCCUAUGGCUUAACCAUAGAACUGCAUUUGAAACUGUUAUUCUAGAGUAUGGGAGAGGUAGGUGGAAUUCUUGGUGUAGGGGUAAAAUCCGUAGAGAUCAAGAGGAAUACUCAUUGCGAAGGCGACCUGCUAGAACAUAACUGACGCUGAUGCGCGAAAGCGUGGGGAGCAAACAGGAUUAGAUACCCCGGUAGUC
rnacentral:rRNA from 1 species